UACGUAGGGUGCGAGCGUUAAUCGGAAUUACUGGGCGUAAAGCGUGCGCAGGCGGUUUGCUAAGACCGAUGUGAAAUCCCCGGGCUUAACCUGGGAACUGCAUUGGUGACUGGCAGGCUAGAGUAUGGCAGAGGGGGGUAGAAUUCCACGGUGUAGCAGUGAAAUGCGUAGAAGAUGUGGAGGAAUACCGAUGGCGAAGGCAGCCCCCUGGGCCAAUACUGACGCUCAUGCACGAAAGCGUGGGGAGCAAACAGG
rnacentral:rRNA from 1 species